rnacentral:rRNA from 1 species
GAUUUCUGGAUCGAUUGGCCUGUCCCGCCACGGUAACGUGAGUGAGUGACGGUGUUAAUCAUCCAUCCUUCUAAAUAUGUGUUUUAUGGUGAAUAACUGUAGAAUGUCAGUUUAGAUCGAUUACUGUGAACAAAUUAGAGUGUUUCAAGCAGGCAUAUUGCUAUGAAUACAUUAGCAUGGAAUAAUAAUUUAGGACUUCGGUUCUAUUUUGUUGGUUUCUAGGACUGAAGUAAUGAUUGAUAGGGAUAGUUGGGGGUGCUAGUAUUCAGCGGCCAGAGGUGAAAUUCUCGGAUUCGCUGAAGACUAACUUAUGCGAAAGCAUU